AGGACGAACGCUGGCGGCGUGCCUAACACAUGCAAGUCGAACGGAGUCAGAAAGCUUGCUUUUGACUUAGUGGCGGACGGGUGAGUAACGCGUGAGUAACCUGCCUCUGAGAGGGGAAUAACGUUCUGAAAAGAACGCUAAUACCGCAUAACGUAUUGAAGCCGCAUGACUUUGAUACCAAAGAUUUUAUCGCUCGGAGAUGGACUCGCGUCCGAUUAGUUAGUUGGUGAGGUAACGGCUCACCAAGACCGCGAUCGGUAGCCGGACUGAGAGGCUGAUCGGCCACAUUGGGACUGAGACACGGCCCAGACUCCUACGGGAGGCAGCAGUGGGGGAUAUUGCGCAAUGGGGGCAACCCUGACGCCAGCAACGCCGCGUGAAGGAUGAAGGUUUUCGGAUUGUAAACUUCUUUUAUCAGGGACGAAAUCUGACGGUACCUGAUGAAUAAGCUCCGGCUAACUACGUGCCAGCAGCGGC
rnacentral:rRNA from 1 species